rnacentral:rRNA from 1 species
UACGUAGGUGGCAAGCGUUGUCCGGAUUUAUUGGGUUUAAAGGGUGCGUAGGCGGUUUUUUAAGUCAGUGGUGAAAUACUUCAGCUCAACUGGAGAGGUGCCAUUGAUACUGGGAAACUUGAGUACUGAUGAGGUAGGCGGAAUGGACGGUGUAGCGGUGAAAUGCUUAGAUAUCGUCCAGAACACCGAUAGCGAAGGCAGCUUACUAAGGAGUAACUGACGCUGAGGCACGAAAGUGUGGGGAUCAAACAGG